GGGCGUGUAGCUCAGUUGGGAGAGCGCCUGCCUUACAAGCAGGUGGUCGGAAGUUCAAGUCCCUCCGCGCCCACCA
rnacentral:tRNA from 1 species